rnacentral:rRNA from 1 species
CCCUUAGAUGUCCUGGGCCGCACGCGCGCUACACUGUUUGAUUCAGCGAGUCUUAACCUUGACCGAAAGGUUUGGGUAAUCUUCUAAAGUCAAACGUGAUGGGGAUCGAUCAUUGCAAUUAUUGAUCGUGAACGAGGAAUUCCUAGUAAAUGCAAGUCAUCAGCUUGCGUUGAUUACGUCCCUGCCCUUUGUACACACCGCCCGUCGCUACUACCGAUUGAAUGGUUUAGUGAGAUCUCCGGAUUGGCUCUGUAGGUCCCGCAAGGGAUUUAUUAGUAGCCAAGAAGCUGCUCAAACUUGAUCAUUUAGAGGAAGUAAAAGUCGUAACA